rnacentral:rRNA from 1 species
GACGAACCGUACGAACGUUAUUCGGAAUUACUGGGCUUAAAGGUGCGUAGGCUGCGCGGAAAGUUGGGUGUGAAAUCCCUCGGCUCAACCGAGGAACUGCGCUCAAAACUACCGUGCUCGAGGGAGACAGAGGUGAGCGGAACUUAGGGUGGAGCGGUGAAAUGCGUUGAUAUCCUAAGGAACACCCGUGGCGAAAGCGGCUCACUGGGUCUCUUCUGACGCUGAGGCACGAAAGCUAGGGUAGCGAACGGG